GUCAUAAAGCAUUUUUAGCAGUAUGGUAAGUUUGAAACAUGAAAAAAACGAGAAAGUUGGGUACAUCAGCAAAAUCUCUCCGACCAAAAGUUUCGCCGUCAGUGAUAGAACAUUCAGGUGUUUUCACUCUUGUUAUAUGGGAUUUGGUCCCAGAAGUGUCACAUUUCGACUCAAGAUGACAAAGCCAAUCAUCUGUCGAAGGCUUCAAAUUUG
rnacentral:misc_RNA from 1 species